rnacentral:rRNA from 1 species
GUGGCGAACGGGUGAGUAACACGUGAGCAAUCUGCCCCUGACUCUGGGAUAAGCGUUGGAAACGACGUCUAAUACCGGAUACGAACUGAGAUCGCAUGGUCAUCAGUUGGAAAGAACUUCGGUCAGGGAUGAGCUCGCGGCCUAUCAGCUAGUUGGUGAGGUAAUGGCCCACCAAGGCGACGACGGGUAGCCGGCCUGAGAGGGUGACCGGCCACACUGGGACUGAGACACGGCCCAGACUCCUAUGGGAGGCAGCAGUAGGGAAUUUUCGGCAAUGGGCGAAAGCCUGACCGAGCAAUGCCGCGUGAGGGACGAAGGCCUUCGGGUUGUAAACCUCUUUUAGCAGGGAAGAAGCGAAAGUGACGGUACCUGCAGAAAAAGCACCGGCUAACUACGUGCCAGCAGCCGCGGUAAUACGUAGGGUGCAAGCGUUGUCCGGAAUUAUUGGGCGUAAAGAGCUCGUAGGCGGUUUGUCGCGUCUGCUGUGAAAAUCCGAGGCUCAACCUCGGACCUGCAGUGGGUACGGGCAAACUAGGGUGCGGUAGGGGAGAUUGGAAUUCCUGGUGUAGCGGUGGAAUGCGCAGAUAUCAGGAGGAACACCAAUGGCGAAGGCAGAUCUCUGGGCCGUAACUGACGCUGAGGAGCGAAAGCGUGGGGAGCGAACAGGAUUAGAUACCCUGGUAGUCCACGCCCUAAACGAUGUCUACUAGUUGUUGGUGGAGUAAAAUCCAUGAGUAACGCAGCUAACGCGUGAAGUAGACCGCCUGGGG